rnacentral:lncRNA from 1 species
AUCACUAAUAACUGUACAGUUUUACUUGAGGGAUUGGGAGUCCUUGGAUCCACUCCAGCACUUCUCAGAGAGAUCACUGUUUUCGGUGGCAAAGAAGAUGGCAGCAGGCCAAAAUGACAAGUCGGAGGUGCCAAAAUGACAGCUGAUGUCCCUCUCAAAUGGCAGGUUCCAGAGAGGAUGAUGAAGCAUCCAACCAGACAGAAGCGAUGUAUCUCUCAGGUAUGACCUGAUGAAGUUCUGCUGGAUGUGGAGCUUCAAAGACCGGCCUGUGUUGUCAGCCAUCAUCAAGCUUCUGGAGUCCUACACAUUCCUGGCUGGCACUAGACAUCUACAUCCCAGAUGGCAUAGACAUCUUUGACUACACCAAGAGGGCAGGUGUGCUCCUCUAAAUAUCUAGCCUAAAGCAUCACAUUCAUGAAGAGGCUAAAAGCAAGCAGGGGCAGACUGGCCAUCUGGCAUUUCUGGCAUAUGCCAGAUGGCUGGUCCAUUUUUAGCUCAGUGAGCCUGUUAAUGAUAAUUUUCAACCAAAAAAAGUUCUGGCAAUUAUCUGCCGAUAAGCUAGGAUUUGGCCAGUGAGGGGGGCCUCAAAUGGCCUGGUGUGUUAGACGCCAGGGCCGAUUUCUGGUCCCAGUCUGCCCCUGAAAGCAAGGAUUUGGUCCCUUACAAAGUAUGGCUGUAGUUGAUUCUAGGUUCAUGUGUACUGUACUGUGGUAUCAACAUCCAGAGAGAUUUUAUUAAACCGAGAUGAAAUGUUGUAAAUGAUUUAACAUAAGGGUGUGUAAGUAUUGUAUGGCGACUGCAACCUAUAGCCUUAUUGUAAGAUUGCACAAAAUGUUGUACAACCACACUGGGGAUUUUUGGAUGAGUGAGACUUUCAGCACAAAAUGGACGUCAGGAAGAAAAAUCUUCUAAUGUUAUUGUCACAAUCCCUCACCUCACAUGUUUGGUCCAUCAGUAGUGAAUUCUUUUUGAAAUUGUACAGAUAUAAUAAGCGUUCUUGAUGUCAUCUUGUCAUGAAACCAGGCAAGUCAUUAUAAAUCACCACUUUAUUGUCAAAGGUACAGAAUAAAAAAUACAGAUCUUCAUAAUACGUUUACUGGUUUAUAAUUGGGUGAGUAUCACUCUUGUGCAUUGAACUGUAGUAAUGAGGCAUGUAUUGUGGUCAUACAGUUGAAGUCACUGAUCACGCUACGUACAAUUGGCCUUUAAGUGUACUUCACUCCCUCUACGCUGUUGAUUUUGUUCAUAAAAUUGCUUGUCAUUGACC